rnacentral:rRNA from 1 species
GAUGAACGCUGGCGGCGUGCCUAAUACAUGCAAGUCGAGCGAACAGACGAGGAGCUUGCUUCUUAGACGUUAGCGGCGGACGGGUGAGUAACACGUAGGUAACCUACCUAUAAGACUGGGAUAACUUCGGGAAACCGGAGCUAAUACCGGAUAAUAUUUUGAACCGCAUGGUUCGAUAGUGAAAGAUGGUUUUGCUAUCACUUAUAGAUGGAUCUGCGCCGUAUUAGCUAGUUGGUAAGGUAACGGCUUACCAAGGCAACGAUGCGUAGCCGACCUGAGAGGGUGAUCGGCCACACUGGAACUGAGACACGGUCCAGACUCCUACGGGAGGCAGCAGUAGGGAAUCUUCCGCAAUGGGCGAAAGCCUGACGGAGCAACGCCGCGUGAGUGAUGAAGGUCUUCGGAUCGUAAAACUCUGUUAUUAGGGAAGAACAUAUGUGUAAGUAACUGUGCACGUCUUGACGGUACCUAAUCAGAAAGCCACGGCUAACUACGUG